rnacentral:rRNA from 1 species
GACGAACGCUAGCGGCGUGCUUAACACAUGCAAGUCGAGCGGUAAGGCCCUUUCGGGGUACGACGAGCGGCGAACGGGUGAGUAACACGUGGGUGACCUGCCCUCAGCUCUGGGAUAAGCCUGGGAAACCGGGUCUAAUACCGGAUAUGACUCCAUGACGCAUGUUGUGGGGUGGAAAGCCUUGUGCGGCUGAGGAUGGGCCCGCGGCCUAUCAGCUUGUUGGUGGGGUGAGGCCUACCAAGGCGACGACGGGUAGCCGGCCUGAGAGGGCGACCGGCCACACUGGGACUGAGACACGGCCCAGACUCCUACGGGAGGCAGCAGUGGGGAAUCUUGCGCAAUGGGCGAAAGCCUGACGCAGCGACGCCGCGUGAGGGAUGACGGCCU